CUAGCAUAUCAAUAAGCGGAGGAAAAGAAACCCACCGGGAUUGCCCUAGUAACGGCGAGUGAAGCGGCAAGAGCUCAAAUUUGAAAGCUGGCCCCCUCGGGGUCCGCAUUGUAAUUUGCAGAGGAUGCUUCGGGAGCGGUCCCCAUCUAAGUGCCCUGGAACGGGCCGUCAUAGAGGGUGAGAAUCCCGUAUGGGAUGGGGUGCCCGCGCCCGUGUGAAGCUCCUUCGACGAGUCGAGUUGUUUGGGAAUGCAGCUCUAAUUGGGUGGUAAAUUUCAUCUAAAGCUAAAUAUUGGCCGGAGACCGAUAGCGCACAAGUAGAGUGAUCGAAAGAUGAAAAGCACUUUGAAAAGAGAGUUAAACAGCACGUGAAAUUGUUGAAAGGGAAGCGCUUGCGAUCAGACUCGCCCACGGGGUUCAGCCGGCAUUCGUGCCGGUGUACUUCCCCGCGGGCGGGCCAGCGUCGGUUUGGGCGGUCGGUCAAAGGCCCCUGGAAUGUAACGCCUCUCGGGGCGUCUUAUAGCCAGGGGUGCCAUGCGACCUGCCCGGACCGAGGAACGCGCUUCGGCUCGGACGCUGGCAUAAUGGUCGUAAGCGACCCGUCUUGAAACACGGACCAAGGAGUCUAACAUCUACGCGAGUGUUCGGGUGUCAAACCCGUGCGCGCAGUGAAAGCGAACGGAGGUGGGAACCCUCACGGGUGCACCAUCGACCGAUCCUGAUGUCUUUGGAUGGAUUUGAGUAAGAGCGUAGCUGUUGGGACCCGAAAGAUGGUGAACUAUGCCUGAAUAGGGCGAAGCCAGAGGAAACUCUGGUGGAGGCUCGCAGCGGUUCUGACGUGCAAAUCGAUCGUCAAAUUUGGGUAUAGGGGCGAAAGACUAAUCGAACCAUCUAGUAGCUGGUUCCUGCCGAA
rnacentral:rRNA from 1 species